rnacentral:rRNA from 1 species
GACGGAGGGUGCUAGCGUUGUUCGGAAUCACUGGGCGUAAAGGGCGCGUAGGCGGCCUUGCAAGUCGGUUGGUGAAAGCCCGGGGCUCAACCCCGGAGGUGCGGCCGAGACUGCAGGGCUGGAGGCCGGAAGAGGAGGGUGGAAUACCCAGUGUAGAGGUGAAAUUCGUAGAUAUUGGGUGGAACACCGGUGGCGAAGGCGGCCUUCUGGACAGUGACUGACGCUGAGACGCGAAAGCGUGGGGAGCAAACAGG